UUUAUGGCCACAGAAAACAAAACUCGGGGUGCAUGGUUGCCAACCCCCAACCAUAGGCCUACGUUUUCAAGCGAGAGUUUUAGCAAGAAACUGAGCGUUCCUAAAUCUUACUGCUUGUUCUCAAAAGGAGUUGGAAAAGAAAAACCCAUAAAACAGAAAAUUUUGUUCUUUAAAGUCACACCCUAAGUUAAACACCCUCUCAAUGGUGCCUGCAGUUAUGUCUAAGUCCCUGUGGUGCCACUUUCUACAGGUCUAUGUGAGCAGGGUAGACUUAAGUAGACAUAUCUUUCUGAGUAUUCCUCCUCCUAGCCCCUUCUCUCUGUCAAAUGAACUAUCCUGAUAUAAUAAUGAACACCACACAGACUAAUGCAAUGCUUCUCACCCAUAGGUCAAGAGGCAUUUGGGGGAAGGGGCAUAUAGAGUUUUUGUACAAUGAGCUUCAAAUCCAUCUGCAUGCUUUAUUAUCUAUGACUCAGCUUCCUAUAUUUCCCAAAGGGUUGUACCCCUACUCUUCAAGUAUG
rnacentral:lncRNA from 1 species